rnacentral:rRNA from 1 species
GAUGAACGCUAGCGGCAGGCCUAAUACAUGCAAGUCGGACGGGAUCCGUCGGAGAGCUUGCUCGAAGACGGUGAGAGUGGCGCACGGGUGCGUAACGCGUGAGCAACCUACCUCUAUCAGGGGGAUAGCCUCUCGAAAGAGAGAUUAACACCGCAUAAUAUAUGUGACCGGGAUCGGUUGGAUAUUAAAUAUUUAUAGGAUAGAGAUGGGCUCUCGUGACAUUAGCUAGUUGGUAGGGUAACGGCUUACCAAGGCGACGAUGUCUAGGGGCUCUGAGAGGAGAAUCCCCCACACUGGUACUGAGACACGGACCAGACUCCUACGGGAGGCAGCAGUAAGGAAUAUUGGUCAAUGGGCGGAAGCCUGAACCAGCCAUGCCGCGUGCAGGAUGACUGCCCUAUGGGUUGUAAACUGCUUUUGUCCAGGAAUAAACCUUUCUACGUGUAGGGAGCUGAAUGUACUGGAAGAAUAAGGAUCGGCUAACUCCGUGCCAGCCGCCGCGGUAA